CUAACUGGAGGACCGAACCGACUAAUGUUGAAAAAUUAGCGGAUGACCUGUGGCUGGGGGUGAAAGGCCAAUCAAACCGGGAGAUAGCUGGUUCUCCCCGAAAGCUAUUUAGGUAGCGCCUCGUGAAUUCAUCUCCGGGGGUAGAGCACUGUUUCGGCUAGGGGGCCAUCCCGGCUUACCAACCCGAUGCAAACUGCGAAUACCGGAGAAUGUUAUCACGGGAGACACACGGCGGGUGCUAACGUCCGUCGUGAA
rnacentral:rRNA from 8 species